rnacentral:tRNA from 1 species
GAUAUUACGCCGGAAUGAACGGAUAGUCCUGAUGAGACUAAAUAUAGAGGCCCCUCUUAAUAUCU